rnacentral:rRNA from 1 species
CCCUGCCAUUUGUACACACCGCCCGUCGCUACUACCGAUUGAAUGGCUUAGUGAGGUCUUGGGAUUGGCUUCGGGGAGCCGGCAACGGCACCCUGUCGCUGAGAACUUGAUCAAACUUGGUCAUUUAGAGGAAG